AAGAGAAGGAUAUAGGGGUCCCCUGUGGAUGUCCUUAAGGGUCCACUUUCUGCCCUUCUCUGCAGUUUCCAGGUCCAGAGAGGUUGGCAGAUCUGUGCUGACCCCAGUCAGUACUGGGUCCAGGAAAACAUCACUGACCCGGAACCGAACUCUGGAAGGGUCUGGAGGCUCCAAGGAAGUGUAACAUCUAUGGGUCAAAUGAGGAGAUGUUUGACUGUGCAGUUCUGAGAGCCUUCUCCUCUGUGGCCCCACCCUAAAGCCUACCCAGCCUCUAGGUUCCUCUUUGACUUUAGUCUUGCUUAUGUAUCUCAUUUUGUGCUUGCACCAUAUUUUUGUUUUGAAAAGGUAUUAUGCAAUGACCACGGUGUGGAUAUCUCAUGGUUUGCUCUUCGUCCUUUCCCCCUUCCCUUCAGCUUCUUCUCAGACAACCUCUACCAAUCACUGAGUGUGAUUAGCUUUCUGAGGGAGAAUUUGAACCACAUAUAUGAAGCAACAAAUGCUUAUUGAAUAGCUUGACUUGGUGUUGCGUUUAGCACAUUAAAGGUGCUUCAAUAAAAUGCCAGAGAGAUUUUUCAUUAUGAUUAUUCUUGAUUUUGUUUUCCUCACAAAUCAGAAUCACAGAUGAACAGGGAUACUGCAAGAGGACAUGGAAAUAUGAGCUCACAACAGCAAGCCAUGUUUCCCAGGGAAUGCUUUCCUGAGAAAUUGAAGCUGACCUCAGUAGUUUAUAAAGUGGAUCAUAAUUGACACGGUCUAGGGCAGCGGUUCUCAACCUGUGGGUCGUGACCUCUUAGGUGGGGGAUCAAAUGACCCUUUCACAGGGGCCACCUAAGACCACUGGAAAACACAGAUAUUUACAUUCCAAUUCAUAGCAGUAACAAAAUUACAGUUAUGAAGCGGCAUUGAAAUAAUUUUAUAGUUGAGGGGCGGUCGCCACGACAUGAGGGGCUGUAUUAAGGGGUGGAGGACCACUGGUCUAGAGAAACGCUCCACUGGAAUGAAUACCAAAGUGGUGUAUUCUGUGUGUGCACACAAGCAUGUUUCCAAAGUGGCGUAUUCUGUGUGUGCACACAAGCAUGUUUCCAUGGAUGAGCAACAGCUGACGUUUGUUGAGAACUUGUGAGGUGCGGGGUUCUGUGUCCAGUGCUUGCUAAUAUUAGUGCCAGCCUAGCAAACCCACCUGCAGGAGGGAACACUCCCUGCUGGUCGUUGCCCCAGAGGCAUAGCAAUAUCCCCUGCAGUGCACUUUGUUUCCUAGGAGAACGUUUUCCAUAGUCGUCUCUGUGGUGAGGCUCAGGUGGCAAACGAAAAUACAGAAUGAAAACUUUAAGGAUAAUAUAUAUAUAUGCCUCAUGAAUAUUCAGAAUAUAUAGAAAUUGCUGGGUCUUUCUGCACUGUCCCCAGCCACCCUCUUUGGAGUGAAUACCUCUUAUGCAGGCACCUGUUUCCUGAUGCAGACACCUGCCCAAAGGGUUGGCUUAACUGUAGAGAGCUAAUUCCAAAGUCGGGCUCACAUUCAAGUCAGUCAGGAUCUUUCCCCAAGUCCAAUGCUGGUGCUUACUCCCAAAGUCACAAACUUCAUUUGUACCUGGACCAGGUAACUUUAGGUCUCCUCCGGGGAUAUUAAAGGAAAUCAACACCGAGAACCACAACAGGUUUACAAUAUGGACUGAGUCGGAGGCAAGUCAGGGCAGUUUCUUCGGAGCUUCAGUGCCUGAGACCUGUGGGCUUUAAUUCUGCUGUAUGGCCAAUGAGAGACACAGCUCCAUACACAGCGUACGUCUCCAGCAGGUUUGGGAGUCUCCCUGAGACCUGGCUAUCCUCUAGUUUCUCCUGGUUAUUGAUUUCCAUCCCCACAUCACCCCUGGCUGGUGGAAUAGUGUCAUGGGCAGGGCGGGCUGAUGUGAUUGCUCCCUGACUGUUGUACACCAGCUGCACCUUCACAAAGACCACAAUUGUUUGUUGUGAUGGUUAGGUCUACGGUGUCAACUUUAUAGAGCUAAGUAUUACCUACAUAAAACGUUAUCCCUGCGUGUCUGGGAGGUGUUUCUAGAGGGGGAUGGAUUAGCAUUCAAAUCAGAGGGCGACCUGAAUCUGAUCCCUGGAAUCCUUCCACAAAGUUGUCCUUCACCUCCACACCACACAUGCGACUUGGCAUGCGCAUGCCCAUGCAUGUGUAUCACACAAAAUGAUGAUGACGAUGAUAGCAAUAAUAAUAGGAGAAGUAGUAAAGUUAAAUAAAUUUUGAGAAUUUAACUCUCAAAAUUUUGAAAAUGUUAAUUGGAAGGAAAGUUUUGACUGCUUGUGACCAGAAAGUGAUGAAUAAGCCAGAGAUGCUCAGGCGGAGCCAAUGACAGGAGAAAACUAAGUACCCUGUAGUCUACUCUACAAGGGUCAGGGGAGGUUAGGCUAGCCCAGGUAGCAGAACCCAGCAGGUUUUUGUUAUAUAUACAAGUUUCCUGUUCACGUAUGAUCUAUGUGGGUUAGGUAAUUGGGUUUCAAUAUUCAGUUACACCAGAAUCCUCUUUAGGGUUUGUGUCAAAAGAGUCCCAGAAUUCUCCCAGGAUACAGGUUGGGACAUGGCUCAAGCUUCUGUCUUUCUAGUGAGCACUUGGGCAAUGCUGCUACAGUGGGACCAAGGACUACUCUGUGUGAUCCCCAGCUCAUAGCGGCUCUCCUCCCAGUGGUGACUCGGGCCUUCAGGAUGCUCCAUCUUCACUUGCAGACUCUGUGAGGGGAAGGACUUGAAAGGCGCACUGACUUAACUGUGUUGGUUCAGAAGUGACACAUUUUACUCAGGCUUCCAGUUCAUGGGUUGGCCAUAAUUGGUCACAUGAGCUUCCUGGUAGUGAGAUGAACCCCCAAAUAUUAGCCAGGGUAAGCUCCAUCUUCAACAAGCUUCCAUGCCGCUGAACUACUUGCCAGACUGAAGCAAAGCAAGCCUCCCACAGCCAGACAGUGUUUGCUGAGGUCAGCAAAGUGUCCCGUAAGGGCAGGGAGAGAGCACACUGAGACAUGUCACCGCUAGAGUCUGGUUUGCCUCAGCCUGUUGUCACCUCUGCAGCUUUAAGGCUAGCUAGCUCAAAGCUCUGAACCUAGGCUCGCACCAACCCUGCUGCAAAGUCACAGCCAUUGAAACUAAGAGCUUAGUAGGUAGGGUGGCUGGUGACUUCAGGAAAAUACUGCCAUUUCGAGUUUUCCACUGCUCUGUAAGAAACUCCCAAGAAACUCAUUUUACUUAUCCAGAGGAAUUUAUACAAUGGCUAACACUGAUUGUCAACUUGACAGGAGCCAGAUUCACUGAAGAGACAAGGUUCUGGGCAUUUCUGUGAGGAAUUCUCUACAUUAGGUUAAUGGAGGCGGGAAGACCCACCCUGCAUGUGUUUGGGACCCUGAGCUGCACCGAAAGGAGAAGCUUGACUGAGAGCUGGUAUCAGUCUCUGCUGUGUCUCCUCAAACCGUCAGCCAAGACACACCCUUCCUCCUCAUCGGGCUUCUUGUCACAGCAAUGAGGAAAGUAACUUGUGUAGCAUGAAAAGUUGCUCUUUGUUCUUUCUCUGUGAGAACCGGUUUUGGAUGAAACAGACGUUAAUUCUUCAUCUCCCCGGGCAGUCACUCAACAGUCUUCCAGCCUCCUGAGUAGUCUCUUCUAUUUACGCACUAAAAAGUUGAAAGGGACCCAACCAAUGUGAACUCACAUGCUAGUAGAAUCAUUUACUUCCAUUUUCUCCCCCCCCUUAUUAUUACAGGAUGUCAGUUUAGUAUUCUUGUUGCAUACGGAUACUUCAUGAAAUAUUCUUGACUUUGCCCUUUUUGCAUUUUAUAAAAAAGGAUCUUGGCUCUGCCUGAUUUUCUUCUACUUAAAAACACAAUAUAGGCCUUACAUCCUCAGACUUUACCUGUAAAUAUUUUUAGCUUUGCAUCCACGUAGCUUCUGUCACAGCUGUUCAUUUCUGUCUUGCUAGUGAAGAAGUAAACACAACACUGAAUGAAUAGGCAUGACCCUAUUUCAAUAAAAUAUUAUAUUUACAAAUAUACAAUGUGCUGGAUUUCUUCUGAGGACCAGUGUUGGUGAGCUCUAAUCUAGGCAACUGGUUUAAUAGAAAUUUGACGGCAACAAAAGCAGUAUUUUUGUGUAUUGCUGUAGGUUGACUGAAUUUCCCGCAAAUGCUCAUGGAUCAAAGACUUAUUCACCAGCCUGUUAUGCUAUGGGGAAGUGGCUAAGGAAUUGCAGUCCUAGUGUGGCUUUGCUUCCUGAGCUGGUCACUGCCUCCCAGUGCGGGAAGUGCCGCUGAGUGGAUGGAUAGCCAGCUGCUUGUUCCAGCUCUUCUGAGGAACUCGAGCCUAAGAAGAGACUCACCCUGCAGAUCACACGUGACACGGGCUGAGGAACCUUAUUACUCAGAUGGCAGCUGGGAAGCAACUGUCCCAAACAGGACAAGAUUCAACCCUUCUUCUGAGAUAUAGGAAAUAGAAAGCUAAAGUCUUUUGGAAAGGAAACCACCCAAAACCUACAGCCUAAGGCAUUUUGAAAAUCCCUUAGGAAGUUGUUUCACAACAUGGCUACUUUUGUCUGUA